UUGUCUUGAAGAGCUUGUAGAGCAAAGUAGAAUUCGCCGAGACCCAGAGCUUGUAGAGCAAAGUAGAAUUCGCCGAGACCCACGAAGGGGAUUUCGUCCAAGGUACAGAGGACGUUGUAGGAGGAUCAGGAGGAGGAAAUAUAGGAAGAAUAAGAAGAAUUAGAAGGAUGUUCAAAAUUGUGCGCUGAUCAUUUAUUAUUCGGUUAGUUAAAUUUGUAUUAAU